GUUAAAAAGCUCGUAGUUGGAUUUCGGAGUGGGCCAGUUGGUCCGCCGCAAGGUGUGUUACUGACUGGUUUGCUCUUCUUCGCAAAGACUGCGUGUGCUCUUCAGUGAGUGUGCGUAGGAUUUACGACGUUUACUUUGAAAAAAUUAGAGUGUUCAAAGCAGGCUAUUGCUUGAAUACAUGAGCAUGGAAUAAUGGAAUAGGACUUUGGUCCCAUUUUGUUGGUUUCUAGGGCCGAAGUAAUGAUUAAGAGGGACAAUUGGGGGCACCCGUAUUUCGUUGUCAGAGGUGAAAUUCUUGGAUUUACGAAAGACGAACAACUGCGAAAGCACUUGCCAAGAGUGUUUUCAUUAAUCAAGAACGAAAGUUAGAGGAUCGAAG
rnacentral:rRNA from 1 species